ACGCCGACUAAAAAACCCCUUAGAUUGCUGUGGUGAUAAACCAUAAGACCAGCGCCUUAAGGAGAUGCCAAGUAUAUCUGCACUCUGCAGAAACAUGGACCAGGAGAGGGCUGAGUUGGCAAACACCACACCCACCACGCGAAACUUUGCGGUCAUCCAUCGGUUGUUAUGGCUCUGAAGCAGGAAGGACAACAUGAAUGAUGCUCAAAAGUAAUUAACAAGAAUGCCAAGACGCCCAAAAUGAAAUAGAAGACAAAAUGUACUUAUCUCUUAGUUCAAAAUGAAAGGGGAUGUUCUUGUGACCCAGUCUAUGGGACUCCCAGCGGCCUGGGCUGUGGUUCCUGAGAUGCUAAUUAGUAUGAUCUAAGCCGGAUGCGUGCAAAGUUUGCACUUUCGGAGGGUGGAUCAAGCUGUCGAUGGUCUGAAAGAAAACAUAUAAAAGUCACUGCCCCAGAAGGUCUUCUUAACAGUGUCAUUCACCAACUCUUGUCUCCGGAAUAUCUGCUCUUCCUACUCUAGACUCACAGCUGUCUUUUUACAAUGUCCACCGCUGGUAUGUCAUCCAUCAGCCAACCAACAUACCAACCAAUUGUGAUGUCAACUCCCGCUUUUGUUAGAAUGCGACCAUUCACAGGCCCGUAUCCUAUCCCUGAACCAAUUGCUGUCGGAGGAUAUUACCAACCUCACCCAUUCACUCCAUUCCAUGGCAACCCAUUCACUCUCCCGCCCAGUGGUCUUGAGGACUUUCCAGUUUUAGCAUUAUUGAACCUCUCCUAAACCUUAAGACACCAUCACUGAUACAGGCAACCUGAAUGCACCUUGUCUAAACUUCCAGGGACAUACAAAGUGUGAAUGGAACAUGCCUGUCAUCUGUUGGUGGACUCCCAAGAAGCUCUGUCUACCCAUGAGCAUUGUUGCCUUGUGUCCUUCUGCUGACCUUCCCUGCACCUUCUUCCUCUUCACAGAAUGUAUUGUCAACCCUUUUUGAAGCUGCUCACUAUAGAAUGCAUUCCCUGCACUCCCCUUCCCCUACAAUAAAUCUUGUCUAUCUGCAUCACAA